GUUGUAUGGUUAAGUGACUAAGCGUACACGGUGGAUGCCUGGGCAGUCAGAGGCGAUGAAGGACGUACUAACUUGCGAUAAGCGCAGAUAAGGCAGUAAGAGCCGUUUGAGUCUGCGAUUUCCGAAUGGGGAAACCCAACUGCAUAAGCAGUUACUGUUAACUGAAUACAUAGGUUAACAGAGCAAACCGGGGGAACUGAAACAUCUAAGUACCCCGAGGAGAAGAAAUCAACCGAGAUUCCGGUAGUAGCGGCGAGCGAACCUGGAUUAGCCCUUAAGCACUCAGUGAAGUAGGUGAACAAGCUGGAAAGCUUGGCGAUACAGGGUGAUAGCCCCGUAACCGACGCUUCAUCGAGCGUGAAAUCGAGUAGGGCGGGACACGUGAUAUCCUGUCUGAAUAUGGGGGGACCAUCCUCCAAGGCUAAAUACUCCUGACUGACCGAUAGUGAACCAGUACCGUGAGGGAAAGGCGAAAAGAACCCCUGUGAGGGGAGUGAAAUAGAACCUGAAACCGUGUACGUACAAGCAGUAGGAGCACCUUCGUGGUGUGACUGCGUACCUUUUGUAUAAUGGGUCAGCGACUUAUAUUCAGUGGCAAGGUUAACCGUAUAGGGGAGCCGUAGCGAAAGCGAGUCUUAACUGGGCGCUCAGUCUCUGGAUAUAGACCCGAAACCGGGUGAUCUAGCCAUGGGCAGGUUGAAGGUUGAGUAACAUCAACUGGAGGACCGAACCGACUAAUGUUGAAAAAUUAGCGGAUGACUUGUGGCUAGGGGUGAAAGGCCAAUCAAACUCGGAGAUAGCUGGUUCUCCCCGAAAGCUAUUUAGGUAGCGCCUCGGACGAAUACUACUGGGGGUAGAGCACUGUUAAGGCUAGGGGGUCAUCCCGACUUACCAACCCUUUGCAAACUCCGAAUACCAGUAAGUACUAUCCGGGAGACACACGGCGGGUGCUAACGUCCGUCGUGGAGAGGGAAACAACCCAGACCGCCAGCUAAGGUCCCAAAGUAUUGCUAAGUGGGAAACGAUGUGGGAAGGCUCAGACAGCUAGGAUGUUGGCUUAGAAGCAGCCAUCAUUUAAAGAAAGCGUAAUAGCUCACUAGUCGAGUCGGCCUGCGCGGAAGAUGUAACGGGGCUAAGCAAUACACCGAAGCUGCGGCAAUAUCUUUUAGAUAUUGGGUAGGGGAGCGUUCUGUAAG
rnacentral:rRNA from 1 species